UACGUAGGUGGCAAGCGUUGUCCGGAUUUACUGGGCGUAAAGGAUGCGUAGGCGGACAUUUAAGUCAGAUGUGAAAUACCCGAGCUUAACUUGGGUGCUGCAUUUGAAACUGGGUGUCUAGAGUGCAGGAGAGGUAAGUGGAAUUCCUAGUGUAGCGGUGAAAUGCACAGAUAUAUGGAAGAACACCAAUAAAGGCGAAGGCAAUUAACUAUUCUGUUACUGACAUUGAGGCACGAAAAGCGUGGGGAGCAAAACGGG
rnacentral:rRNA from 1 species